rfam:Anncaliia algerae PRA109 cont4.5185, whole genome shotgun sequence.
GCCCCUGUAGCUCAGAUGGUUAGAGCGCGGUACUUAUAUGCUUGCAUAUGCCUAUUAGUGAAAGCUAAGAUAUGCCGAUGUCGAGGGUUCGAGUCCCUUCAGGGGCA